CCCUCUUGUUUGUUGGUUUUCACCUACUGGUAGCAGCACAAAUAGAGAGAGAAUAGUUAGAGAAGAAGAGAAGAAGAAGAUCAAGAAAAGAGAUCAAGUGUUGAUUGCGUUCCAGACUUCGUUUAGAUUCAGCAACUGAAUUUUCUAAGAGAAGAAAAUACAAUUUCUAGAGGACUGCUCCAGGCUGAUCUAAGUGGAUACCCAGAA
rnacentral:lncRNA from 1 species